UAAAAUUAAAAUGAAUGUUUGAUCUAUAAGUAAAUUAACUAAAGAUCUUCCAUUGAAAUUUGAAUUUGAUUCAAAUUCUUUUGUGAUAAAGAUCUUCUAUAGAAAACUGUGAUAGCCAAGGGCAGGAGAACUAAGAAUGACUUGUACACUCUAAAAGCAAGAGAGAUUGGAUGUCACUCCUUGAAAAUGAAGAAAGGAGAAUAUGAAGCUAUAUGUCAUCAUAGAUUAGGACACCUCAAUAAUCAAACUCUUAGGUUUUUAAAUAGUCAAAAUGUAAUAAAUGUAACUAAGUGGAAUGAAAAAGAACACAGAUGUUUAGGUUGUAUAUAAUGGGAAAAAUAUCAAAAUUACCAUUUACAUUUUCUAAAUCUAUUUCAAAUGAUGUGUUUGAAAAAAUUCAUUGUGAUUUGUGGGGUCCCUUCCCAAUUAGUUCCAAGCUUGGUUAUAGAUUAUGCUUGCUUAAUAGAUAAUAAAUCGAAAUACACCUUGUUUAUUCCUCUAAAAGUCAAAUCUGAUUUUACUAAAGCAUAUCUAAUUUUUGAAAAAUAUAUGUUAAAACAGUUUAAUAAAAAAAUUAAAUUUUUUCAAUGUGAUUGGGGGGAGAGUUCUGUAAUAAAGAAUUAGAAACUCAUUUUAAGAAUGAAGGUAUCAAAAUGCAGAUUUCUUGUCCUUCAACACCUCAACAAAAUAGGGUAGCUGAAAGAAAACAUAGUACAAUAAGAGAACAUGGUCUGUCUCUGCUAUUUUUUAGUAAAAUUCCACAUAUCUAUUGGGUAGAGGCUUUUGAUACAAUUGUCUGCCUAAUGAAUAGGACGCCAUCAGUUCCUCUUGGAAAACUGUCACCCUUUGAAUUUCUAUACAAAAAGAAGGCAGACUAUCAACAUUUGAAAAGUUUUGGCUGUGAAUGUUAUCCUCAUAUCUGGGAUUCAAAAAUAAAUAAAUUUUCUCUAAAAUCAUUAUCAUGUGUAAUGAUUGGCUAUAGUGAAAAAUACAAAGGUUUUAGAUGUCUUAUUAAAAAACUGGAAAAAAUUUAAUUUCAAGAAAUGUAGUUUUUAAUGUGCUCAAAUAUCCAUAAAAGCCAGAGAGUAGUGUAAUCUCUCAACCAGGGAAGAUUAUAAGUUUUUCAAAUGAACAGGUUAUGUACAAUCCAGACCCGCUUUUUUCUUCCUUCUGAAGUAAUUUGACUAAUUUCUCAUCCUCAUAUGCAUUUCCUUCUUCAAUCUUCUGAGAUAUUUAAAGAAAUAGUAAAAAUUCCAAAAACACAUAAAAAAAACACAGUAUAAAUCAAACUUAUUUUAGAUCGAAACAUAGAAAACGGAAAUGGGAAAUUCAGCAGAGCAAGUAAGUGUGUGGACAGAAUAUUUAAAAACAGAGUGAUUAUGUAAAAAAACAUUGAUAAUGAAACAAAAAAUUGCAAACCGAGAGAAGAUUCAUAAUUCAUAAAAAAAAACAGAGAUAAUAGUGAAUUUUGGAUCAUACAUUCAUUGGCAAUGAAAGUGAUAUAUGGAGGGAGUAUUUACCGACUGCAGAAGCAAGAUUUUUUCAUUAUUCUUGUUUAUAUUUACCGAGUUACCGUAUUAGAGUUAUGCGACUUUUACAAACUCAAAAUAGAAAGAGCACGAGUGUAUGACUGGAGUUUCUCCGAAAACCACAGAUCUAGAUCGAAAUAUUCAUAAAAUGUUAGCAUACUGAAACAUGUAAAAAAAAUAGAAAGAUGGCGUAAACCUAGAUAUUAGGAAAGUUUAUAGGAUCGAGCUAGGAAGGUAAAAUAUUAUUACCUUCUAAAAGUUGGUGGUCGGAAUCCGUAAACAACAUACGUACGUUGUAGGAUUGCCUACAACAAUAACAAUGGCGACGACGACAAUGUAGAUCGAGAAUGGUUAAAACAUAGAGAACAUAAGGAAAAUAACAAACCCUAGGUAAAACGAAUGGUGGCGGUGAGAGAUGGUAAGGAGACGAUGAAAAUCGACUCAGAU
rnacentral:lncRNA from 1 species